AAUUCCCUGUGGACAUGAAGAGAGAGGAGCAAGAGCUGUGGCUGACCCAGGUCAAACCUUCCUGGUGCCAUGGCUGGCCUCACUCCCUGGCUGCUUGGGCUCAGCUGGAGCCAAGGCCUGGAGCAGCAAUACCGCGUCUCUUCCAUGGCCCAGUGAUCUAAAUCACUGCACAUUCCAGCAUCUCCAUGGCCAGGAGUAAUUUUUUUCUGUAAAGGUGUGACUUCUCUUCCAAUCUGCACUAUUUAAAACCCUGGCAAAAGAUCAGUCGGAUCUCUCCCAGCCUUGUCUGGCAGGAAGCCCCUCAUUCCCUGCCAGCUCUCUGAGGCCAAUAAAGUGAAAUUACACCAAUUUUUGGGAUGUGCAAGGUCUGACUCUAUGUUAUGAAUUUGAUGCUUCUUCCUUCACAAAUAAAAGCAUCUGUCCUCAUCCCAGAGGCUGCCUCCCACCAGCCACAUCCAUGGAAGCCUGGUAAUAAGAGAGUGCCCAGAAGCUUUCCCUUACUCCAUGCUUGGAAGAUUUUCAGAGCUGCCUCCUAGGACUUGGCUUGUCCAGAGAGGUUGUGGCUGUCCCAUCCCUGGAAGUGCCCAAGGCCAGGCUGGAUGGGGCUUGGAGCAACCUGGGAUAGUGGAAGGUGCCCCUGCCCUUGGCAGGGACAUGGAACAAGAAAGACUUAAGGGUCCCUUCCAACCCAAACCACUCUGGGAUCCUGUUCAAUUAUUUCCAGCUCCAGGUGAUCCCAUAACUAUCAUCAUCAUAAUUUUCCUUUAAAAUAAAGAACAUAAGGAUAAGCCAGGAUGGUGUCACCACCCUGGUUGGGUUCAUGUAGCUCUUGACCAGAGGAUCAAUUCCAAUGCCAAAUUCAUAUCUGAAACAGCAGAGCUGGGCCCUGACCCAGGCAGCUUUUCCAGAUGAUGGUGCAGGAGCACUGGGAAAUGACACAACUCCUGCUUUUAGAUUGUGGCCACAGGACUCGGAUCAAACCUUUCUUUGUUUUCCAGAGUUAUUUCUGAGCAUGAGUUAUUGCUCAGUGCCACAGCAUAAGUGGCUUUCAGCCUGUAUUUAACCCUGGAUGAUGGAAGAGAGGGUGGGAGCAGUGAAGUGACACAGACCUUAUUACUGGGACAGAGCUGCUGUGGAAAUCUGUCAGAGGUUCUGCAGCAAACACUGAGCCCUUUGCAAUAGACACACCACAAAACCGUGUUGAAAUACACCUGGAGACCCUUUUUCUUCAAAUUCCCUGAUGCCAUGGGAAGGAGGGUGCUCCCAAAGUGCACAGGAGCAGCCCCAGGACCCGGAGCCUCACCCUGACGAGGUCAUGAAGGAAGAUUCUCACGCUGUCGGCCAUCUCGACUCCAGCAUCACCUCUGCUUCCCAAACUAUCAACUACAGGGAGAGGGGGAGAGCCGGACCCAAGCCUCUCUCAUCCUGGAGAGAUGGGAAACGGAUGGAGCCUGCAGAGAGAGAGCACACAGGGCCACGGCACAGCUGUUAACAGCGGGCUAACCGGGAAUUACAAAUUCAGUCACACCCCGGUGAUUUCCAGCAGGAUUCCCGGCCCUCACUGCCUUCCCACGGGCACAACCAUUCUCCACCAGGCCAGGGAAUGGACCCACCCUGCUCAUACCAGUGUUAGCGAGCUCAGGGUUAGAGAAAAGCUCUUGUAAAGCACCAGAGAAAUAAGACCAGCAUCUGAUUCAAGGAAAAAAAGAAACCAUCAGCUAAUAAAAUUUGUGCUUUCCCAGCAGGAAGCAAAGCUCUCAUUCCUCCCAGGCAGCUCUGGAGCAGGCUGGAGUCACAAACCCUGGCUUGUCAGUGGCGCUGCUGCAGCCGCGAGACACAAACAAUUAAAAAUAAUUUUAAAAACUG